rnacentral:tRNA from 1 species
GCUUCCAUACCCCAAUAGGUAGAGGGGAAUGGCUCAAACCCAUUGUAGUCUCAGUUCGAAUCUGAGUGGAAGUA